rnacentral:rRNA from 1 species
GUCCACGCCGUAAACGAUGAGUGCUAAGUGUUGGGGGGUUUCCGCCCCUCAGUGCUGCAGCUAACGCAUUAAGCACUCCGCCUGGGGAGUACGGUCGCAAGACUGAAACUCAAAGGAAUUGACGGGGGCCCGCACAAGCGGUGGAGCAUGUGGUUUAAUUCGAAGCAACGCGAAGAACCUUACCAGGUCUUGACAUCCCAUUGACCACUGUAGAGAUACAGUUUUCCCUUCGGGGACAACGGUGACAGGUGGUGCAUGGUU